rnacentral:rRNA from 1 species
UGCAAGUCGCGCGAUUGCCUUUCGGGGCAAUAGCGGCAAACGGGUGAGGAACACGUAGAUAAUCUUCCUUAAAGCUAGGCAUAGCAUCGUGAAAACGGUGGUAAUUCCUAAUGUGGCGUUAGACUUUAUGGUUUAACGUUAAAGGCGGGGAUCGUAAGACCUGCCACUUUAAGAUGAGUCUGCGUCCUAUCAGCUUGUUGGUGGGGUAACGGCCUACCAAGGCGUAUGACGGGUAGCUGGUCUGAGAGGAUGGUCAGCCACACUGGGACUGAGACACUGCCCAGACUCCUACGGGAGGCUGCAGUCGAGAAUCUUUUUCAAUGGACGAAAGUCUGAAAAUGCGACGCCGCGUGCAGGAUGAAGGCCUUCGGGUUGUAAACUGCUUUUGUUAGGGAAGAACUCUUUAAGGUUAAUAUCCUUAAAGCUGACGGUACCUAAAGAAUAAGCUACGGCCAACUCCGUGCCAGCAGCCGCGGUAAUACGGAGGUAGCGAGCGUUACUCGGAAUCAUUGGGUGCAAAGGGCAAGUAGGCGGUCUAUUAAGUGAGGGGUGAAAUCUCCCGGCUCAAUCGGGAAACUGCCUUUCAAACUAAUAGACUUGAGGCUGGA